rnacentral:lncRNA from 1 species
GUUUCUCAUCCUUCUCUUUCCUCUCCCCAUCUGAAAGAGAAAAGAGAGGGGACCCUAGAAAUCUCAGAAGAUUCCAGUCCUGCUUAGGAUGAUGAGCCAACAAGCCAUAUGACAGCUAUUGUCAUGUGACUCAUCUCAGCCUCAGGUUUCUGUCCCACUGUGCCACCUGUGAGUCAUUCCUGCGAAGCCUCCAGCUCUCCAUGGAGAAGGCUUUGGGCUGCCAGCAACUCCCUCACUGAGUCAUCUCGCACUGCAAGAUGGAACGGUUCCCAGGGCGCUGGCACUUCCAUUGGCAGCAGCAGAAGAACCAAAAUAGGACACACCAAAUGGAUCUAAUUUUGCCUGAACCUCGGUCUGCAAGGUUUGGGGGUACACCCUGGGGGAGGAUCAGAGCUGGGUCCAGAGGGGCCUUUGCUCUCCCUCCUUGCUCCUUCUACCUUCACCCCAUUUGACGAGCUGUGCCAUGUCAGGGCUUGGCUCCAUAGUGCUGGUUUUAAAAAGGCGCCUCACUCAUAGCUAUUCAGAUUUCAGAAAUAAAUGCUCUACACCACUGAUCAAAACGCCUGGAGUCAACAGAGCCGGUGACAUCUUAAGAAAUGCACCCGGAUCAUGAUUUGCCAUCUGGGCACAAGCUUAGGGAAGCUCUGGGAACAGCUCUACUCCCAGAAAGCUGGGUGAAAAUCAACUAGACCCAGCAGGGAAGUCUCCGCGUUGAUCAGUGGGGCCUUGCUGGGCUGCCCUCCCAGUCCCCACAGGUGUUCCAAGGAGGGGCCUGAACACCAGGCUCUGGAAAACCUGAGGAUGAUGUUGCUGGAGUUGGUGCCGGGGCUCGCUCUAGGACAGGCGUGGGCUCCUCCUCUCCACUGGUGUGCCUUUGGGAAGGGUAUCCUCCACCCACUGUGCACCCACCCGACCUGUGGCUUGGAGCAGGCCCUCCCUGGCCAGCAGCUCUGCUUCUGCUGAGUGAAGAGGAAGGAGCACUUGGCUCUCCCUCCAGGAGGUGCAUGAAGAUU